AAAAACAUCUCUUUAUGUUUAAAUUAUAUAAAGUAUAGCCUGCUCACUGACUAAAAAGUUAAAGAGCCGCGGUAUCCUGACCGUGCGAAGGUAGCAUAAUAAUUAGCCUUUUAAUUGAAGGCUUGUAUGAAUGGUUGAACAAAAAGAAAGCUGUCUCAAUUUUAAAAAUUGAAUUUAACUUUUAAGUGAAAAGGCUUAAAUGUUUUAGAGU
rnacentral:rRNA from 1 species